rnacentral:rRNA from 1 species
AACGUAGGUGGCGAGCGUUAUCCGGAUUUACUGGGCGUAAAGCGUGUGCAGGCGGCUUAUCAAGCGGUGUAUGAAAUAUCCAGGCUCAACCUGGAGGGGUUAUGCCAGACUGGUAGGCUAGAGUGCGAGAGAGGGGCGUGGAAUUCCGGGUGUAGUGGUGAAAUGCGUAGAGAUCCGGAGGAACCCCAGAGGCGAAGGCGGCGCCCUGGCUCGACACUGACGCUCAGACACGACAGCAUGGGGAGCGAACGGG